rnacentral:rRNA from 1 species
GUCGAGAAUAAUUCACAAUGGGGGAAACCCUGACGCAGCGACGCCGCGUGAGUGAUGAAGGCCUUCGGGUCGUAAAGCUCUGUUGCAGGGGAAUAAAAAAAUGAAGGUACCCUGUGAGGAAGGAUCGGCUAACUUCGUGCCAGCAGCCGCGGUAAGACGAGGGAUCCUAGCGUUGCUCGGAAUCAUUGGGCGUAAAGAGGGCGUAGGUGGCUUGGUAAGUCAGGUGUGAAAGCCCAGGGCUCAACCCUGGAAGUGCAUUUGAUACUGCUGAGCUUGAGUGUCGGAGAGGUUACCGGAAUACCUGGUGUAGUGGUGAAAUACGUAGAUAUCAGGUGGAACACCGGAGGCGAAGGCGGGUAACUGGACGAACACUGACACUGAGGCCCGAAAGCGUGGGGAUCAAACAGGAUUAGAUACCCUUGUAGUCC